rnacentral:rRNA from 1 species
AGAGUUUGAUCCUGGCUCAGAACGAACGCUGGCGGCAGGCCUAACACAUGCAAGUCGAGCGCGCCUUCGGGCGAGCGGCGGACGGGUUAGUAACGCGUGGGAACGUGCCCAGAUCUACGGAAUAGCCACUGGAAACGGUGAGUAAUACCGUAUACGCCCUUCGGGGGAAAGAUUUAUCGGAUUUGGAUCGGCCCGCGUUAGAUUAGGUAGUUGGUGGGGUAACGGCCUACCAAGCCUACGAUCUAUAGCUGGUUUUAGAGGAUGAUCAGCAACACUGGGACUGAGACACGGCCCAGACUCCUACGGGAGGCAGCAGUGGGGAAUCUUGGACAAUGGGGGCAACCCUGAUCCAGCCAUGCCGCGUGAGUGAAGAAGGCCCUAGGGUCGUAAAACUCUUUCGCCUGUGAUGAUAAUGACAGUAGCAGGUAAAGAAACCCCGGCUAACUCCGUGCCAGCAGCCGCGGUAAUACGGAGGGGGUUAGCGUUGUUCGGAAUUACUGGGCGUAAAGCGCACGUAGGCGGAUUAGAAAGUUAGAGGUGAAAUCCCGGGGCUCAACCCCGGAACUGCCUUUAAAACUACUAGUCUAGAGUUCGAGAGAGGUGAGUGGAAUUCCGAGUGUAGAGGUGAAAUUCGUAGAUAUUCGGAGGAACACCAGUGGCGAAGGCGGCUCACUGGCUCGAUACUGACGCUGAGGUGCGAAAGUGUGGGGAGCAAACAGGAUUAGAUACCCUGGUAGUCCACACC